UCCAAUUUUUUUUCAUGGCCGGCAAAAGUUUUUUGGGAAAUUGGCAGAACUAACGCAUCAAAAAACUAUAUUUCAUUGAGUAACCAUUCUAACUAAGAGAAGCCAAAGAAGGAGAAAGUUCUUUCUAGGUUGUAGAAAGAUUCGCCAGCGAUUGACGGAGAGAGAUUCAGCGUGGACUGUGACUGGAUCGGAGGGAACGACGGCUAGACGGCUAAGAGAGACUGGGAAUCGAUUCAGCAAAUAAGGAUUUCGAUUUCUCUUUUUUUGAUUCUCUCUCUGAUCACAGAACAUAAAUUAAAUAUUUUAUUUUAUUUUUCGGGGUCAUCUUCUCCGGCGAGAGAGAAAGAGCAAUGGACUCUCCGUUAUCAAAAACCGAUGCGUCGAAGGAGAAAUUUGUGGGUUCACCACGGCCAUCAACAACGACUGCUGAUUCAAAUGCGAUGAGAGGUUGUGGACUCGCUAAUCUUACAUGGGUUGGUGUUGAUAAAGUGGAGCUUCGUCAGAAGCUUAUGAUACCUGAGUAUUUCCGUCUAGCUAUGCGUGACUGUAUCAAACUGAAGGAUUCAACCAGAUUUAUGUGUUCAGGCCUGUCCCUAUUAAUGGUUGUUUUCAUUAACCCCAAAUCUGGUGGUCAUCAUGGUCUUGUGCUUAAAGAGAAGCUUCAACUGUUGAUGAGCGACAUUUAGGUGUUUUACCUUACGGAAGUGAAGCCUCAUGAGUUUGUAAGAUACGGGUUGGCGUGUUUGGAGAUAGGGGCAGCGAAAGGAGAUGAAUGUGCUAAAUAAUGCAGAGCAAGGUUGAAGAUUAUGGUGAGUACACACAACAAUAUAUUUUUAAUCUCAUGGUCUUUACGUUUUUAGCAAUUAGAAAUGUUGACAAUGGAAUUGGUUCGUUAGAAAUGUUGACAAGGCCCUGUUUCAAAUAAGGUUGUAUGAUUUUCGAGUAAUGAGACUGAGGUCCAUCGGCGAGGCUUUCGAUUGUGGCUGCUUCAAGCAGGUUGUCGAUCCCACAUUUGGUUUACCAUUCUAUUCCAUUUUUUAAAUUUACGGUUUAACAUUCUAUUCCAUUUUCUGGUCUUGCA